GACGAACGCUGGCGGCGUGCUUAACACAUGCAAGUCGAACGGAAAGGCCCUGCUUGCAGGGUACUCGAGUGGCGAACGGGUGAGUAACACGUGGGUGAUCUGCCCUGCACUUCGGGAUAAGCCUGGGAAACUGGGUCUAAUACCGGAUAGGAGCCAUUUUUAGUGUGAUGGUUGGAAAGUUUUUUCGGUGUAGGAUGAGCUCGCGGCCUAUCAGCUUGUUGGUGGGGUAAUGGCCUACCAAGGCGGCGACGGGUAGCCGGCCUGAGAGGGUGGACGGCCACAGUGGGACUGAGAGACGGCCCAGACUCCUACGGGAGGCAGCAGGGGGGAAUAUUGCACAAUGGGCGCAAGCCUGAUGCAGCGACGCCGCGUGGGGGAUGACGGCCUUCGGGUUGUAAACUCCUUUCGCUAGGGACGAAGCUUUUUGUGACGGUACCUAGAGAAGAAGCACCGGCUAACUACGUG
rnacentral:rRNA from 1 species